rnacentral:tRNA from 2 species
GCAUCUUUAGCUCAAUCGGAUAGAGCAACGGUCUUCGAAACCGUGGGUUAUUGGUUCGAGUCCAAUAGGGUGCU